GUGGGGAAUAUUGGGCAAUGGGCGAAAGCCUGACCCAGCAACGCCGCGUGAGGGAAGAAGGCCUUAGGGUCGUAAACCUCUGUUGUGUGGGAAGAAGAGCGUGACGGUACCACACGAGGAAGUCCCGGCUAACUACGUGCCAGCAGCCGCGGUAAUACGUAGGGGACGAGCGUUGUCCGGAUUUACUGGGCGUAAAGGGCGCGUAGGCGGUCAUUUAAGUCAGCUGUGAAAUGGUUUGGCUUAACCGGAUCAUGCGGUUGAAACUGGAUGACUGGAGUGCUGGAGAGGCAAGUGGAAUUCCCAGUGUAGCGGUGAAAUGCGUAGAUAUUGGGAAGAACACCGGUGGCGAAGGCGACUUGCUGGCCAGCAACUGACGCUGAGGCGCGAAAGCCAGGGGAGCAAACGGGAUUAGAAACCCCAGUAAUCC
rnacentral:rRNA from 1 species